rnacentral:rRNA from 1 species
UACAGAGGGUGCAAGCGUUGUUCGGAAUUAUUGGGCGUAAAGGGCGCGUAGGCGGUUCGGCAAGUCUCUAGUGAAAUCUCUGGGCUCAACUCAGAGUCUGCUGGGGAAACUGCCGGGCUUGAGUGUGGGAGAGGAGAGUGGAAUUCCCGGUGUAGCGGUGAAAUGCGUAGAUAUCGGGGAGGAACACCUGUGGCGAAAGCGGCUCUCUGGACCACAACUGACGCUGAGG